rnacentral:rRNA from 1 species
UACGAAGGGGGCUAGCGUUGCUCGGAAUUACUGGGCGUAAAGGGCGCGUAGGCGGAUAGUUUAGUCGGAGGUGAAAGCCCAGGGCUCAACCUUGGAAUUGCCUUUGAUACUGGCUAUCUUGAGUUCGGGAGAGGUGAGUGGAAUGCCGAGUGUAGAGGUGGAAUUCGUAGAUAUUCGGCGGAACACCAGUGGCGAAGGCGACUCACUGGCCCGAUACUGACGCUGAGGCGCGAAAGCGUGGGGAGCAAACAGG